rnacentral:lncRNA from 1 species
AUGAUCUCUUCCAUCGGUCUUGUUUGUGGAAUCCAGUAGACAGACCAUUUUGCCACAACUGGUAGCACCAGUGUCUUUGAUUUCUCCAUCUAGAUUUCCCUCGGGCUACUCCAGCAUGGGGUGCUGCAGUGGCUGAUGGUUUGAAUAGGGCAGCAUUUGUUGUUUACUGGAAAAGCAGGCCAUAUUCUUUGUUUUUUUUUUUUUUUUCUUUUACUGAAAGGCAGGCAAUAUUUUUUUCUUCAAAUCCAAAUAUCCCCUCUUUCUUUUCUUCAGUCAACCAAAAAUUCACUUUCUCUUUUCUAAAAUAAAAAUGUAUUUCUUUGGCAUGUUUCGGGGGGGGGUACUUUUUAUUUGUUUGAUUUCUGAUUACAUUCAUCUUACGUAUUUACUCUGAAGUGGAAGUUUUAACUUUAUUUUAAUUUUCUGUAUUGGUUUUCCUUGAUACUUUCAUGAGUUUUCCAUUAUAUUUUCCAGAUCAAGUCCAGAAAGAAAUGGCUAGGAUGAUGGCUCUGUUCAAGGAUGAUUGGAGGAGAGAACAGUUCCAGAAUGGUGAGUCUGUGCUGGUCCAACAGAGGCCCUGCUCAUUGUGGGGGAGUGUCAGGGGAGGACGGGUGCAGGGGAGCUUCGCAAAAGGGAGACCCUCUGGCCCAAGCCUACUGACCUUUCCCAGAAACGUGAUGACCACUUUUCUUUGCACUAACUCUGACUCUGGAUGCAGCCAGAUAUGAUGGCAAGUCCCAUUGAUAGUUUUCACAUCAUUGUAUUUUUGGCAUGCUCCAUCUGUUUCUUUACCACGUGUCUUUGAUGCUCAGUGAUCAACUUUCUCAACACCAACCUACACAUAUAAACUUAUGUGUAAACGCCCCCUACAUGUAUACCGUGACAUCUUAAGGUUUUCAUUUCGUUGUUAUUUCAACUGACAUUUAUCAUCCUCGCAUGUUAUUCCUUGGAUUUUUCGUAUCCUUGCUUCUCAAGCAGAAAAUUCCUUUUCACCAAAUAUAGCCUAAUAAUAAUUAACUUGUAAAAUUUUGCUGAUUUCAAGUUUCUUUGUCCAAAAUAUUUUCUGUCAUUUGACUGAGAAGCCCAUUCACUGCGAAUUAAUUUUAUGUCUUUUCCUUUCAUCUGACGUUGUGAAAGUAAACGUCAUCGAGGUAACGUUAAUGAUCAAACUCCCAUAAGAUACAGUUACGCAGUAGUCGGCGGACAGAAUGCUGUGACCAGAGGCCCCGUCACCCUGACCUGACCUGACCUGACCUGCGUGUCCUGUAAAAGCGCUAGUUCAGGAUUCUUUAAUUCAGGGUCUCGUGGCUUUAUCGAGCAAAGCCACCACGGUAGGGACAUUGAGGCUAUUUACUAAGCACAAGUCACACAACUUAUACCCAUAGAAACGUGAGGAAGGACAGACCAAAUAUUUUCAAAAGGAAUCAUGAACAGAUUUAUCAGGUUCAUUACCAGCAAUAAAGUUCUCCUUUUCUCAAUUGAAAACA